CGAGCGGCGGUGAAGCAAGUUUAUGGUUCAUAUGCUCCUAUCGAAAUCCAAGCUCGUGAUGCAUAUACGAAAGCUAAUUUUCUAGAAUUCAAGACACAAUUGAGACUAAGUACAAGAUAUGAAUCAUCAGAAUUGGAGAAAUAUUCAUUAUAUAAGGUAAGUACAAUUGUUGACCCUAUAUUACCGUCUCGAGCAUGUGCAGUCUUAUGAAGUUAGUGUGGAUAUACCAAACAAAAUGAUAGUUUGUAAUUGCAAAUUGUUUAAAUUUGCUGGCCUUUUGUGUUCUCAUGUACUAAGGGUAAUGCUUGACAUCAAAAUGCACUUAAUUCCUUUGCAUUAUAUUUUAAAAAGAUGGACUAAAGAUGCGAAAAAAGGGUCAUCUAGUAUUCAAUUAGUGAAACGUGUUGCCAUGGGUGAUGAUCCACAUGCAAAAGCUUUAAGAGUCCAAGCACUCACUCAAAAAGCUCAAAAGAUUAUAUUUGAAGGUGCACAAAGUUUUGGGUCAUUUGAGUUAGCAUGUGAAAAAGCCGAUAAGCUUGUUGAUGAGAUAAUCUCAUAUAAUCAAGCCUCAAAAGGAUCACAAGAUGACGAAGUUGAAGCGCAUCUUCCUAUUCCACAAAUUGAUGGACUUGAUCUCAUGGUGAAAGACCCUCCAUCAUCACAAUGUAAAGGAAAAAGAAAGCCACAAAGAUUCAAGCCCCCUGCCGAAAAGUGAGCAAAGAAAUCUAGGACGUGUCAAAAUUGUCACAAGCAGGGACAUAAUAUUCGAACUUGCAAGGAGGUUUCAUCAUUGGAUAUGAAUAUCAAAGCAUAUGCUGACGAAAGCAACUAAGAUAGGAGUUGCUAAUGCUUUAUUUUGGAGCAAUUUCUAUAAGGAGGCUGAAAUUGAUUUUGCUUUUGUUGUUGCUAAAUAGGCAAGAGGUGUUGUUGUUUUCUCUUGCUGCUGCUGUUGCCUAAUUGUUGUGCAAGAACAAAUUAUUAUGCAAUUGGUAAAUAUGAUAUAAAGUAAUAGUUGUUGGCCAAAUUGA